rnacentral:rRNA from 1 species
UGGGAUUAGAUACCCCACUAUGCCUAGCCAUAAACUUUGACUACUUACGCAAAAAUCCGCCAGGGAACUACGAGCCUAAGCUUAAAACCCAAAGGACUUGGCGGUGCUCCAAACCCACCUAGAGGAGCCUGUUCUGUAAUCGAUACCCCUCGCUAAACCUCACCACUUCUUGCCAAACCCGCCUAUAUACCACCGUCGCCAGCCCACCUCGUGAGAGAUUCUUAGUAGGCUUAAUGAUUUUUCAUCAACACGUCAGGUCAAGGUGUAGCAUAUGAAGUGGGAAGAAAUGGGCUACAUUUUCUAUACCUUAGAAUAAACGAAAGAUCUCUAUGAAACCAGAUCGGAAGGCGAAUUUAGCAGUAAAGAGAAACAAGAGAGUUCUCUUUAAAACGGCCCUGGAGCGCGCACACACCGCCCGUCACCCUC